CCAAGCGUUCUCCUGCUCAUGUUUGCACGUUGCACUAACCUCACCAGUGCUUGAACCACUUCUGACAUUGGCGGUCGAAACUCGGGCUCCGGCUGCAGCAACAAGGAAUAUCAGGUUAAAUCCAGAAUUAUUUGAUGUACUCCGGUCUUUAAAUGCACAUGGGACAUCAUAUGAAUUUAAGAUUUGCUACCUGGACGCACAGAGCAAUAACAUCAGCAAACCGGGAAAGAGAUUUAACUGGGUAUAGCCCUUUGAGUGCUGGAUCAACCAUCUUAGCCAAUGCAUCGAUGUCAUGGAGUUGAGGGGUUGCCCAUCGAACUAAAGAU
rnacentral:lncRNA from 1 species